rnacentral:rRNA from 1 species
AUUGAACGCUGGCGGCAGGCCUAACACAUGCAAGUCGAACGAGUGGCGGACGGGUGAGUAAUGUCUGGGAAACUGCCCGAUGGAGGGGGAUAACUACUGGAAACGGUAGCUAAUACCGCAUACCCUCGGAUGUGCCCCGAGGGGAUUAGCUAGUAGGUGGGGGAACGGCUAACCUACGCGACGAUCCCUAGCGGGUCUGAGAGGAUGACAAGCCACCCUGGAACGGAGACACGGUCCAGACUCCUACGGGAGUCAGCAGUGGGGAAUAUUGCACAAUGGGCGCAAGCCUGAUGCAGCCAUGCCGCGUGUAUGAAGAAGGCCUUCGGGUUGUAAAGUACUUGCAGCGAGGAGGCGUUACUCGCAGAAGAAGCACCGGCUAACUCCGUGCCAGCAGCCGCGGUAAUUC